UAGAUGCGAGAGUAGAGCAUAUCAAUAGCGGAGGAAAAGAAACUAACAAGGAUUCCCCUAGUAACGGCGAGUGAAGCGGGAAGAGCUCAAAUUUGAAAUCUUCAAGGGUUUCCCUUGACGAAUUGUAGUUUAAAGAAGUGUUUUCUGUUAGAGAGGUGGUAAAAGUUCUUUGGAAUAGGACAUCAUAGAGGGUGAGAAUCCCGUAUUUGAUCAUUUCUUCCAGCUGUGUGAUACACUUUCAAAGAGUCGGAUUGUUUGGGAAUGCAGUCCAAAAUGGGUGGUAAAUUUCAUCUAAAGCUAAAUAUUGGCGAGAGACCGAUAGCGAACAAGUACCGUGAGGGAAAGAUGAAAAGAACUUUGAAAAGAGAGUUAAACAGUACGUGAAAUUGUCAAAAGGGAAGCGUUUGACACCAGUGUUGUUUUCUCGAAAAUCAAUUAAAAAUGACCGGAUUUUGUGUUGUAUUGACUUUAUCAGCUUUCUGCACUUUUUUCUUGUCUUUUUUAAUGCACUUUUCGUUUAACAAGUCAACAUCAAUUUCUUUUGUUGUAAAAGGGUCAUGAGGAAGGUGGCUUUCUUUUCGGAGAAAGUGUUUAUAGCCUUGUGCCUCUGCAAUCGGAGAGAUCGAGGUCUGCAGCGUAGAUCCUUCGGGGUUAGAUACGCUUGUGCUAAGUUAUAGCUUUUUCAUAGACAACAUUGUUGACUAUGAUUAAGUCAUUGUAGCUUACUCGCUUAUGCUAUUUUACCUACGCUUAGGAUGUUGACGAGACUGUCGAUCUC
rnacentral:rRNA from 1 species